rnacentral:rRNA from 1 species
CAUGCAAGUCGAACGGAAAGGCCCUUCGGGGUACUCGAGUGGCGAACGGGUGAGUAACACGUGGGUGAUCUGCCCUGCACUUUGGGAUAAGCCUGGGAAACUGGGUCUAAUACCGGAUAGGACUACGCGAUGCAUGUCGUGUGGUGGAAAGCUUUUGCGGUGUGGGAUGGGCCCGCGGCCUAUCAGCUUGUUGGUGAGGUUAUGGCUUACCAAGGCGACGACGGGUAGCCGGCCUGAGAGGGUGACCGGCCACACUGGGACUGAGAUACGGCCCAGACUCCUACGGGAGGCAGCAGUGGGGAAUAUUGCACAAUGGGCGCAAGCCUGAUGCAGCGACGCCGCGUGAGGGAUGACGGCCUUCGGGUUGUAAACCUCUUUCAGCAGGGACGAAGCGCAAGUGACGGUACCUGUAGAAGAAGGACCGGCCAACUACGUGCCAGCAGCCGCGGUAAUACGUAGGGUCCGAGCGUUGUCCGGAAUUACUGGGCGUAAAGAGCUCGUAGGUGGUUUGUCGCGUUGUUCGGAAAACUCACA